AGAGUUUGAUCCUGGCUCAGGAUGAACGCUGACAGAAUGCUUAACACAUGCAAGUCAACUUGAACUUCGGUUUGGGUGGCGGACGGGUGAGUAACGCGUAAAGAACUUGCCUCACAGAUAGGGACAACAUUUGGAAACGAAUGCUAAUACCUGAUAUUAUGAUUUUAGGGCAUCCUAAGAUUAUGAAAGCUAUAUGCGCUGUGAGAGAGCUUUGCGUCCCAUUAGCUAGUUGGAGAGGUAACGGCUCACCAAGGCGAUGAUGGGUAGCCGGCCUGAGAGGGUGAACGGCCACAAGGGGACUGAGACACGGCCCUUACUCCUACGGGAGGCAGCAGUGGGGAAUAUUGGACAAUGGACCAAGAGUCUGAUCCAGCAAUUCUGUGUGCACGAUGAAGUUUUUCGGAAUGUAAAGUGCUUUCAGUUGGGAAGAAAAAAAUGACGGUACCAACAGAAGAAGUGACGGCUAAAUACGUGCCAGCAGCCGCGGUAAUACGUAUGUCACAAGCGUUAUCCGGAUUUAUUGGGCGUAAAGCGCGUCUAGGUGGUUAUGUAAGUCUGAUGUGAAAAUGCAGGGCUCAACUCUGUAUUGCGUUGGAAACUGUAUAACUAGAGUACUGGAGAGGUAAGCGGAACUACAAGUGUAGAGGUGAAAUUCGUAGAUAUUUGUAGGAAUGCCGAUGGGGAAGCCAGCUUACUGGACAGAUACUGACGCUGAAGCGCGAAAGCGUGGGUAGCAAACAGGAUUAGAUACCCUGGUAGUCCACGCCGUAAACGAUGAUUACUAGGUGUUGGGGGUCGAACCUCAGCGCCCAAGCAAACGCGAUAAGUAAUCCGCCUGGGGAGUACGUACGCAAGUAUGAAACUCAAAGGAAUUGACGGGGACCCGCACAAGCGGUGGAGCAUGUGGUUUAA
rnacentral:rRNA from 1 species